UGUAAACGAUGUCGAUUUGGAGGGUGUGCCCUUGGGCGUGGCUUCCGGAGCUAACGCGUUAAAUCGACCGCCUGGGGAGUACGGCCGCAAGGUUAAAACUCAAAUGAAUUGACGGGGGCCCGCACAAGCGGUGGAGCAUGUGGUUUAAUUCGAUGCGACGCGAAGAACCUUACCUACUCUUGACAUCCAGAGAAUUUAGCAGAGAUGCUUUAGUGCCUUCGGGAACUCUGAGACAGGUGCUGCAUGGCUGUCGUCAGCUCGUGUUGUGAAAUGUUGGGUUAAGUCCCGCAACGAGCGCAACCCUUAUCCUUUGUUGCCAGCACAUUAUGGUGGGAACUCAAAGGAGACUGCCGGUGAUAAACCGGAGGAAGGUGGGGAUGACGUCAAGUCAUCAUGGCCCUUACGAGUAGGGCUACACACGUGCUACAAUGGCGUAUACAAAGAGAAGCGACCUCGCGAGAGCAAGCGGAACUCAUAAAGUACGUCGUAGUCCGGAUUGGAGUCUGCAACUCGACUCCAUGAAGUCGGAAUCGCUAGUAAUCGUAGAUCAGAAUGCUACGGUGAAUACGUUCCCGGGCCUUGUACACACCGCCCGUCACACCAUGGGAGUGGGUUGCAAAAGAAGUAGGUAGCUUAACCUUCGGGAGGGCGCUUACCACUUUGUGAUUCAUGACUGGGGUGAAGUCGUAACAAGGUAACCA
rnacentral:rRNA from 1 species